rnacentral:lncRNA from 1 species
UCUCCGCUUUCGUUUUAUCGAAUAGAAUAGAAUAGAAAGUUUAUUUCUCUUUCACGCAGUACAAAGCAGUACAUGGAAGAGGGGACACUGGGCAAAAAGCUGCUAAAGGCAGCUUGAGGGAGCACCCAGUGCCCCAGGUACACAUGAACAGCAAUGGGUGGGCAUAUACAAAAUUUACAUGCAACAUUUCUCAACGGAAAAGCAAUAUAUAGCGCGUUGAUACACUGCAAAAAAAGAAAGAAAAGAAAAGAGAAAAACUGAAAUACAUAAUGUCAGCCUAAACUAUCUUGCAAUAUAAUAAUUCAUGCCUAUUUACAAUGUAAGAGGAGUUGUUUCAAAAUCCAAAA